rnacentral:lncRNA from 1 species
CGUUUACUGGAGAGCUGCUUGUGAAUUGCAGCCACCUGUUGAGGGAGCCAAACAGCUUCAAGCAGGGCUAAAAUUUCUUCUUUGUUGUUGACACUCUUUCCUGCUGAGGUGAGUAGCCCUCGCUCUUGAUAGAUGGCUCUGUGUACAUGUACAGUAGCAAAAGCAUACCUGCUGUCAGUGUAGAUGUUAAUACAUUUGUCUUUACCCUAUUGGAGGGCCUGAGUCAGGGUUACCAACUCAGUCCUCUGUGCCAAGGUACCUGCCGGCAGUGCCUGGGCCUACAGUACAUCUGUCUCCAUAGUAAUGGCCACACCAGCCUUCUGUACUCCCUGUUCAAGGAAGCUGCUACCAUCUGUAAACACGGUGGCAUCCACCUCCUUUAGAGGCACAUCUUGGAGAUGAGGUCAGCCAGUUUCCAUAGUUUCUAACAGUUCUUGGCAGUCAUGGACAGGUGUGGUAAGGUCUGGAUCAGGGAACAAGGUAGCUGGAUUUAAACACCUUGUGGGAGAGAAAGUUAAACGCGGCUGAUCUAACAGUAAACUCUGAUACCGCAAGAUGCGAGCAUUCGACAUCCAUUUGCCAGAAGCACUUUGUAGCAAGGUCUCUACAGCAUGAGGAGCCGUAAGGGUUAAAUUCUGGCCCAGAGUCAGUUUAUCAGCCUCCUGGACCUGGCUUGCUGUUGCCACUAUGGCUCACAGACAACUUGGCCACCCAGAGGCCACAGGGUCCAGUCUCUUAGACAAAUAGGCCACUGGGUGUUGCCAUGGCCCUAAAGUCUGAGUAAGUACCCCUUUAGCGACUCCUUGGUUUUCAUGAACAAAAAGGUGAAAUGGUUUUGAGAUAUUUGGGAGGGCAAGAGCAGGGGCCUCAGUUAGUGCCUUCUUCAGAUUUUGAAAAGCCUGUUCUUCUUUGUCAGUCCAAACCAGCGGGGUAUUCCCUCCAGUAGUGGUGUACAGGGGUUUGGCAAUUUCCAUGAACCCCAAUAUCUAUAGGCGACCAUAUCCCACGGUGCCCAGGAAUUCAUGUACCUGUCUCUUAGUGGUGGGAGUGGGGAUUUGAAGGAUGGCUGCCUUUCGAGCACUGGUGAGUGCCCUUUUUCCUUCAUUUGUCUCAUACCCUAGGUAGGAAAUGCUGGGAAGAAAAAGCUGGGCCUUCUUGGCUGGGACCUGAUACCCGAAUUCCUGAAGGAGUCCUGUACAGGCUGGUAAUCAUUUGUUCCGGGUUUCUGGACCGGCAAAAAUGGAAUAUUCCAGGCGAUCUCACAUGGUGUGAGUAUACCAGCUUGUAAUAGUUGCUGAAUAUGAGGAUUAAUUCCCUCUAUAGCCCACAGAAUCAUAGGAUAUUGUUUGACCUGGACCGGCAGGGUGGUGGCCAGGAGUUCUACAACAGCUGGCAGAUGGUGGUUUGCCAGUCCUGGGAGGUAUGAGGAAACAGAGUCUGUAAAGCCAGUAGGAGAGGAUUACUUUUAUUCUCCGGCAGUUGUGAGGGUGAAACUAAGAGAUAUUCCUCUGACCGAAGGGUGGUUAGCAGGAGCUGAGCAGUAGGGGGCAUUGUGUCCCCUAACAUGAGGUGAGUUUGUUGGGCCGAGAAGGAGAUGGACGCCUGUAGCUUAUGAAGCAGGUCUCAUCCGAGGAGGGAGAAGGGGCACUCUGGGACCACGAGGAACAAGUGGGUUACUCUUUUCUGUCCUAAACUCACCUCUCGUGAGUGGGUGACAGGAUAUUCCUGAAUAGCUCCAGUAGCCCUUUACUCAGCAACCUUUUUAUUAGACACUGCCUAAGGGUGUCUGGAGUACUGAGUGUUCCACCCCGGUGUCAAUUAGGAAGCGUACAGGCUGGCCCCCCACUGUGGUGGUCACCAUGGGUUCCCGGGGCCAAGUGACAAAGAGCCCUGGCCCCGUCAAUCAUCAGAUUCCUCUGCUGCGGGGCAGGGUGAGGACCUUUUUCUUUUCUGGUUUCUCCUCUGGCUUUAAUGGGCAUUCCUUUCUCCAGUGUCCAAUCUGCUUGCAAGAAGCACAUUGGUUUCUUUAUAGGGGAGUCCUCUCACGUUUCUGGCCUUCCUGGUGGGGACUCGGGGUCCCCUGGUCAGUGCUCUGUGAUGGGGGCCCUUCCUUUUUGGCUUCUUGGAUGGCAGCCACUAAGCUUUUUGCCUGUCUUUUUGAUGCUUUGUCUGCAGCCCUUUCAGCUGCCUGAGCUACCUGUUUUUGCUUUUCAAAUUCUCGAUUGUCGAAAACUCUCUGGGCUAUCUCUAAAAGCUGGCUGAUGUAAGGAAAUACUUUCUGGCUUCUCUUCAGAUAUGGUCCCUCUCUUCAGAGGUGAAAAGGGAUGAAAGGAGUUGCUGACACUCAUCCCAGGUGGGCCGGUGAGUCUGGAGCACAGACUCCAUCAGUGAGGUUAAGACCUGGGGCUUUUCAGAAAAGGGGGGAUUAUGAGCCUUCCAGUUGUACAGGUCAGAAGUAGAGAAGGGGACAUAAACUAAAAAUGGAGCACAACGCCCACUGCCCAAAGGGAUUUGGGCCUCUGUCAGUGGGAGGAGCGGGGCCACCUCCUCCGGCUGAGGCCAUAAUUGGGAGGAUAUAGGCAGAGAGGCCACAGAGGAUGUAGUUGAGGAGACAAGGGAAGAUUCUGGGGGAGGAGGAGGGUUAUAGGGUGGUGGAAAUGGGUGAAGAAAACUUUCCUCUUCUUCAGAAGGAGGCAGUACAGGAGGAAUCGAGGGAGCUGAGGGUGGAGGCAAAAGUGAGGUCUGGCUAAAAAGGACCUUGGAGGUAGGAUCACGAAUGGCUACAGAGUUUUAUCACGAGUGGAGCCAUGAAGGAGAGCUCUGGACUAAAUCUAGCCAUUGAUCAAUGUAGGGAAACUGAUCGGGGUGACCGGGAGUUCCAACAACGACCCACCACACAGCCUGAACAGCUGUGAAGUGUAGUGACCCGUCUGGGGGCCACCCAGUUCCAAACUUUGGCCAUUCUACUUCGCAGAGUGUCCAGAGUUUGCCUUUUUUAAGGCGGACCCCGUAAUCAUCUGAGAAGCCUAGAGAGAAAUUCUGCAACAUACACUGGAGAGGACUCCAAUCUUUAUGGGGCCGGGAAGAAGAGUUUACUAUUCUGGAGGCAAUUAACAAGGUUUGAACAAAAAUAUUAAACCCAGCAUGGACAAAGAUAUUCACGGCCUGGGAGGCUAUGGUAUCAGAAGAACAGAAGUAUUAUAGCUAGAAGAAGUAGGAAAACAACUAUAGCCAAUAUUUCUUGCCACAUAAGGUCUGUCUCCUCAAGCUUCGAGAUCUAUGGAGAGGAUAAGAGGUGGGUCCAAGGGAUCCUCAGCCAGUGGGACUUAGGUGACCCCCCCUUCUUGACUUAUAUCCCAAAUAACUUUGGUGUCUCCACGACUCGAAAGCAAAAUGUUCAAACUCGGUCCUUUCCUUCACGGGUUUAAGGAGGGAGAACACAGCCAAGUCUUAGAGACGCUGGACUUGCUGCAACACAGGAAAAUGAGAUGUGCAGGGUAAGGGAUGGGGAUGAGGAGGAAAGGGGCCACUUGGAUUUCCCUAAAGGUUGGAGAGUAGCCAAAAGAGGUAAAAUAAGAGUCCAGACAGAGUAGAGCAGUAUGGGUGUAGGUUUCUCUGCACAGUGCCUUAUUUAAGGGCAUGGGAAAAGUUAUGGGAUGACAGAAAAGGUGAGUAAGGAGGUCAGCAGGGUGGCUAUUUUGGAUCCACCACUGGUCUAAGGAGAAGGUGGACCAGUCGUUGGGGCGUGGGGUAUGGCAAUCCAAACGCCAGCAAUCUUUAUGGUGCCAGAAAUCCUAAACGGGUGAAUGUCUUCCACACCCUUCCCCAUAACAACACCUAAUUUGUUUCUGACAGGAAAGGCAGGACUGGGAUGGCCAGCCCAACCGACUAAUGAGGAAUUUGACCUCCUGGGAUAGAAAAUCUGUACUAAGGACCUUGAAGAAGUCCUUGCCCAGUCAUUUUGGGCAGUAUCGACGAUCCGACAUAUGAAAUUUAGACAGACACUAAACAGGACAAUAGGCACUGGGGUAUAUAAACAAGCAUGGCAAUUUUUAUAGACAGACAAGGGGAGGGGGUCCCGUGAUGGGAUCAGUCAGAUGCCCUCCUGGCUGCUCCCCUUUCGGGGACUUAGGCUCCUCUUGGCAUUGGCAGGCUGGUAUAAACCCCUGGCUUGGAUCGAGCUAUGCCUGAUGCCGCCCUAAGCCUUAUGAGGUCACCACGGAACCACAGGUGAGGGCCUUCUCGAAUUCCCUAGCUUUCACCCUGGAGCUACAAACUGGAAAUUCAAGCGCAAGCCCUUGAACUCCACAUUCACUCACUCACUCACUCACUCAGAGUUUAUUACAAUUUUUAUACCCAUUCUAAAACAGAGAUCUCCCGGAGACCUGAAUGAGAGAGGGAGAAGAGAUAGAGAGAGAGAGAGACUAGACUUAACAGAGAAUCCUGACAGAAACCAGGACUCUGUCCUCCAGUGUCCUGGAGCAUGGACAGAGUCUGAGGGAGGACCUUCGUCAGGGCCGUUUCCCUCCCAGAGAGACAGAGUCAGAUCUGACUUACCU